rnacentral:rRNA from 1 species
ACCCCUGUGACAUACCAAUUGUUGCCUCGGCGGAUCAGCCCGCUCCCGGUAAAACGGAACGGCCCGCCAGAGGACCCCUAAACUCUGUUUCUAUAUGUAACUUCUGAGUAAAACCAUAAAUAAAUCAAAACUUUCAACAACGGAUCUCUUGGUUCUGGCAUCGAUGAAGAACGCAGCAAAAUGCGAUAAGUAAUGUGAAUUGCAGAAUUCAGUGAAUCAUCGAAUCUUUGAACGCACAUUGCGCCCGCCAGUAUUCUGGCGGGCAUGCCUGUUCGAGCGUCAUUUCAACCCUCAAGCCCCCGGGUUUGGUGUUGGGGAUCGGCGAGCCUCACGGCAAGCCGGCCCCGAAAUACAGUGGCGGUCUCGCUGCAGCUUCCAUUGCGUAGUAGUAAAACCCUCGCAACUGGUACGCGGCGCGGCCAAGCCGUUAAACCCCCAACUUCUGAAUGUUGACCUCGGAUCAGGUAGGAAUACCCGCUGAACUUAAGC